AUCCUUUAGCCCAUUAAAACCUUAUUACAAAACAGAAGCCCAACAUCUUUGUUUCUGUUGACUUGUUUCCUUUGUUGUUGACCUGCUUCUUUUCUUUGGUCACGACACUUUCUUCUUCUUCUCCAUUGAAGCUUCUUCUGUUAUGCAGUUAGUCCUGAGGUAAGUAUGUCAACAACUUCUGGAUCUGGUCUUGGAACAGGAAGUACGUGCUUAGAAGAUACUACCUAAAUCAACAAAAGACCGGACCACAUGAUCACUGAAGCCUUGGAAAUCUCAACAUACUGGUCUUAAGAUUUAGGAGCUCUCAUACUGUUCAAGGAUUGACUGUGCUUAAGGCCUUAAAUAGCCCCUGGUGAUGGCCUACUGCGGUCAAAUCUCAUAGAUCUUGAGUGAGUUUUAUCCUGUAACUAUUCAUGUUUGGUCAAACAUUGUAAACUAUGUUUGAUAUUAAUAUAUUUGAUUUGACG
rnacentral:lncRNA from 1 species